rnacentral:rRNA from 1 species
GACGGAGGAUGCAAGUGUUAUCCGGAAUCACUGGGCGUAAAGGGCGCGUAGGUGGCCCGGUCAGUUCGUGGUGAAAGCGCGGGGCUCAACCCUGCGUCGGCCAUGAAUACUGCCGCGGCUGGAGCACUGUAGAGGCAGGCGGAAUUCCCGGUGUAGCGGUGAAAUGCGUAGAUAUCGUAAGGAAGACCAGUGGCGAAGGCGGCCAUCUGGGACAACACUGACGCUGAAGCACGAAAGCGUGGGGAGCAAACAGG